GACGAACGCUGGCGGCGUGCUUAACACAUGCAAGUCGAACGGAAAGGCCCUGCUUUUGUGGCGUGCUCGAGUGGCGAACGGGUGAGUAACACGUGAGUAACCUGCCCUUGACUUUGGGAUAACUUCAGGAAACUGGGGCUAAUACCGGAUAGGAGCUCCUGCUGCUUGGUGGGGGUUGGAAAGUUUCGGCGGUUGGGGAUGGACUCGCGGCUUAUCAGCUUGUUGGUGGGGUAGUGGCUUACCAAGGCUUUGACGGGUAGCCGGCCUGAGAGGGUGACCGGCCACAAUGGGAGUGAGAAACGGCGCAGACGACUACGGGAGGAAGCAGUGGGGAAUAUUGCACAAUAGGCGGAAGCCUGAUGCAGCAACGACGCGUGCGGGAUGACGGCGUACGGGUUGUAAAGCGCUUUCGCCUGUGACGAAGAGUGAGUGACGGUAAUGGGUAAAGAAGCACCGGCUAACUACGUG
rnacentral:rRNA from 1 species